AUUGAACGCUGGCGGCAGGCCUAACACAUGCAAGUCGAGCGGAUGAGGGGAGCUUGCUCCCUGAUUUAGCGGCGGACGGGUGAGUAAUGCCUAGGAAUCUGCCUGGUAGUGGGGGAUAACGUUCCGAAAGGAACGCUAAUACCGCAUACGUCCUACGGGAGAAAGCAGGGGACCUUCGGGCCUUGCGCUAUCAGAUGAGCCUAGGUCGGAUUAGCUAGUUGGUGAGGUAAUGGCUCACCAAGGCGACGAUCCGUAACUGGUCUGAGAGGAUGAUCAGUCACACUGGAACUGAGACACGGUCCAGACUCCUACGGGAGGCAGCAGUGGGGAAUAUUGGACAAUGGGCGAAAGCCUGAUCCAGCCAUGCCGCGUGUGUGAAGAAGGUCUUCCGAUUGUAAAGCACUUUAAGUUGGGAGGAAGGGCUGCUGGUUAAUACCCUGCAGUUUUGACGUUACCAACAGAAUAAGCACCGGCUAACUUCGUG
rnacentral:rRNA from 1 species